GGUUAAGCGACUAAGCGUACACGGUGGAUGCCCUGGCAGUCAGAGGCGAUGAAGGACGUGCUAAUCUGCGAAAAGCGUCGGUAAGGUGAUAUGAACCGUUACAGCCGGCGAUGUCCGAAUGGGGAAACCCAGUGUGAUUCGUCACACUAUCGUUAACUGAAUACAUAGGUUAACGAGGCGAACCGGGGGAACUGAAACAUCUAAGUACCCCGAGGAAAAGAAAUCAACCGAGAUUCCCCCAGUAGCGGCGAGCGAACGGGGAGCAGCCCAGAGUCUGAAUCAGCUUGUGUGUUAGUGGAACGGUCUGGAAAGUCCGACGGUACAGGGUGAUAGUCCCGUACACCAAAAUGCACAGGCUGUGAACUCGAAGAGUAGGGCGGGACACGUGGUAUCCUGUCUGAAUAUGGGGGGACCAUCCUCCAAGGCUAAAUACUCCUGACUGACCGAUAGUGAACCAGUACCGUGAGGGAAAGGCGAAAAGAACCCCGGCGAGGGGAGUGAAAAAGAACCUGAAACCGUGUACGUACAAGCAGUGGGAGCACCUUCGGGUGUGACUGCGUACCUUUUGUAUAAUGGGUCAGCGACUUAUAUUCUGUAGCAAGGUUAACCGUAUAGGGGAGCCGCAGGGAAACCGAGUCUUAACUGGGCGUUAAGUUGCAGGGUAUAGACCCGAAACCCGGUGAUCUAGCCAUGGGCAGGUUGAAGGUUGGGUAACACUAACUGGAGGACCGAACCGACUAAUGUUGAAAAAUUAGCGGAUGACUUGUGGCUGGGGGUGAAAGGCCAAUCAAACCGGGAGAUAGCUGGUUCUCCCCGAAAGCUAUUUAGGUAGCGCCUCGUGAAUUCAUCUUCGGGGGUAGAGCACUGUUUCGGCUAGGGGGUCAUCCCGACUUACCAACCCGAUGCAAACUACGAAUACCGAAGAAUGUUAUCACGGGAGACACACGGCGGGUGCUAACGUCCGUCGUGAAGAGGGAAACAACCCAGACCGCCAGCUAAGGUCCCAAAGUCAUGGUUAAGUGGGAAACGAUGUGGGAAGGCACAGACAGCCAGGAUGUUGGCUUAGAAGCAGCCAUCAUUUAAAGAAAGCGUAAUAGCUCACUGGUCGAGUCGGCCUGCGCGGAAGAUGUAACGGGGCUAAACCAUGCACCGAAGCUGCGGCAGCGACACUAUGUGUUGUUGGGUAGGGGAGCGUUCUGUAAGCCUGCGAAGGUGUGCUGUGAGGCAUGCUGGAGGUAUCAGAAGUGCGAAUGCUGACAUAAGUAACGAUAAAGCGGGUGAAAAGCCCGCUCGCCGGAAGACCAAGGGUUCCUGUCCAACGUUAAUCGGGGCAGGGUGAGUCGACCCCUAAGGCGAGGCCGAAAGGCGUAGUCGAUGGGAAACAGGUUAAUAUUCCUGUACUUGGUGUUACUGCGAAGGGGGGACGGAGAAGGCUAUGUUAGCCGGGCGACGGUUGUCCCGGUUUAAGCAUGUAGGCUGGUUGUCCAGGCAAAUCCGGAUAAUCAAGGCUGAGGUGUGAUGACGAGGCACUACGGUGCUGAAGUAACAAAUGCCCUGCUUCCAGGAAAAGCCUCUAAGCAUCAGGUAACAUCAAAUCGUACCCCAAACCGACACAGGUGGUCAGGUAGAGAAUACCAAGGCGCUUGAGAGAACUCGGGUGAAGGAACUAGGCAAAAUGGUGCCGUAACUUCGGGAGAAGGCACGCUGGUGUGUAGGUGAAGUCCCUGCGGAUGGAGCUGAGACCAGUCGAAGAUACCAGCUGGCUGCAACUGUUUAUUAAAAACACAGCACUGUGCAAACACGAAAGUGGACGUAUACGGUGUGACGCCUGCCCGGUGCCGGAAGGUUAAUUGAUGGGGUUAUCCGUAAGGAGAAGCUCUUGAUCGAAGCCCCGGUAAACGGCGGCCGUAACUAUAACGGUCCUAAGGUAGCGAAAUUCCUUGUCGGGUAAGUUCCGACCUGCACGAAUGGCGUAAUGAUGGCCAGGCUGUCUCCACCCGAGACUCAGUGAAAUUGAACUCGCUGUGAAGAUGCAGUGUACCCGCGGCAAGACGGAAAGACCCCGUGAACCUUUACUAUAGCUUGACACUGAACAUUGAGCCUUGAUGUGUAGGAUAGGUGGGAGGCUUUGAAGCGUGGACGCCAGUCUGCGUGGAGCCAACCUUGAAAUACCACCCUUUAAUGUUUGAUGUUCUAACGUUGGCCCCUUACCGGGGUUGCGGACAGUGUCUGGUGGGUAGUUUGACUGGGGCGGUCUCCUCCCAAAGCGUAACGGAGGAGCACGAAGGUUAGCUAAUCCUGGUCGGACAUCAGGAGGUUAGUGCAAUGGCAUAAGCUAGCUUGACUGCGAGCGUGACGGCGCGAGCAGGUGCGAAAGCAGGUCAUAGUGAUCCGGUGGUUCUGAAUGGAAGGGCCAUCGCUCAACGGAUAAAAGGUACUCCGGGGAUAACAGGCUGAUACCGCCCAAGAGUUCAUAUCGACGGCGGUGUUUGGCACCUCGAUGUCGGCUCAUCACAUCCUGGGGCUGAAGUAGGUCCCAAGGGUAUGGCUGUUCGCCAUUUAAAGUGGUACGCGAGCUGGGUUUAGAACGUCGUGAGACAGUUCGGUCCCUAUCUGCCGUGGGCGCUGGAGAAUUGAGGGGGGCUGCUCCUAGUACGAGAGGACCGGAGUGGACGCAUCACUGGUGUUCGGGUUGUCAUGCCAAUGGCACUGCCCGGUAGCUAAAUGCGGAAGAGAUAAGUGCUGAAAGCAUCUAAGCACGAAACUUGCCCCGAGAUGAGUUCUCCCUGAGACUUUAAGUCUCCUGAAGGAACGUUAAAGACGAUGACGUUGAUAGGCCGGGUGUGUAAGCGCAGCGAUGCGUUGAGCUAACCGGUACUAAUGAACCGUGAGGCUUAACCUU
rnacentral:rRNA from 1 species